rnacentral:tRNA from 1 species
GCGGGCGUGGCGAAAUUGGUAGACGCACUAGAUUUAGGUUCUAGCGAUCAUCAUGAGAGUUCGAGUCUCUCCGCCUGUA